GAUUUACAUAAUUGGUAACAACAACAAUAGAGGCAUAUACAUAUAUAUUUGGAAUAUAAGCAUUGGUCAGAAUCAAGCUAAAAACCACAUAUAUAUUGUGAAUAAAAGAAUAAUAAAAUUACAUUAUACAUGUAUAUGUAUUUAUUCUCAAAUUAUUUACUUGACUUAGUGUCAGUGUUCAUACCUGAUCUCCUUAAUUCAAAACAGUCACAAAUAUAACAGCCCAGUUUUUCCAUAAGAGUAACAUUUUCUUGGGUCAAGAGCCAUAAAAAAUUAGAAGAUUUAUUUAAAUUUAUAAAAUUACAACAAUUGUUAGAAAUGUCUUGAAAAAAAUCGUCCCUUUGAAUAUCAUAAAGAGGGCAUUCUAAUAAGAAAUGAAGCUCAUCUUCAAC
rnacentral:lncRNA from 1 species